UACGUAGGUGGCAAGCGUUGUCCGGAUUUAUUGGGUUUAAAGGGUGCGUAGGCGGCUUAAUAAGUCAGUGGCGAAAGCCGAUCGCUUAACGAUCGAACUGCCAUUGAUACUGCUAGGCUUGAGUAUAGUUGAGGUAGGCGGAAUUGACAGUGUAGCGGUGAAAUGCAUAGAUAUUGUCAAGAACACCAAUUGCGAAGGCAGCUUACUAAAGUAUAACUGACGCUGAGGCACGAAAGUGCGGGGAUCAAACAGGAUUAGAAACCCGUAC
rnacentral:rRNA from 1 species